UUUUAAAGUUUGUUUUGUUUUAUUUAUUUAUUAUUUAUUUAUUUAUUUUUGCUUUCUAGAAGAAGUGAUACAUUUCCUCACCGCCCUCCUGUUCUCUUUGUGAACAACAUGCGUUUUCCAAGAAGUUAAGUGAAACUAAGGAUCCAGUUGGUGGCCACUGAACAGAGAGAAGAACCCAUGGUAUACUGCUGACAAAAGAGGAAGGAGCCAUUUUAAUCACAGUCUCAGGACAUCUCAAUCUGAACCAGCCACCUUUCGAUGCUUAAUAACUCCAUGUGGCUAGUGCCUGCCGUACUGGACAAUGUAAGUCUAAAAUUUAUUCUCCUUUGUCAGCCUUAGGAAAACUAGGGUAAUUUAAAAAUACCCAUUUGG